rnacentral:tRNA from 1 species
GCUCCAUUAGUAUUAAACAGUACAGUUGACUUCCAAUCAACCAGAUUCGGUACAAACCCGAAAUGGAACA